GAACGGUAGCACAGAGGAGCUUGCUCCUUGGGUGACGAGUGGCGGACGGGUGAGUAAUGUCUGGGAAACUGCCCGAUGGAGGGGGAUAACUACUGGAAACGGUAGCUAAUACCGCAUAACGUCUUCGGACCAAAGUGGGGGACCUUCGGGCCUCACACCAUCGGAUGUGCCCAGAUGGGAUGAGCUAGUAGGUGGGGUAAUGGCUCACCUAGGCGACGAUCCCUAGCUGGUCUGAGAGGAUGACCAGCCACACUGGAACUGAGACACGGUCCAGACUCCUACGGGAGGCAGCAGUGGGGAAUAUUGCACAAUGGGCGCAAGCCUGAUGCAGCCAUGCCGCGUGUAUGAAGAAGGCCUUCGGGUUGUAAAGUACUUUCAGCGGGGAGGAAGGCGAUGAGGUUAAUAACCUUAUGAAUUGACGUUACCCGCAGAGGAAGCACCGUGCUAACUCCGUG
rnacentral:rRNA from 1 species